rnacentral:rRNA from 1 species
UACGAAGGACCCGAGCGUUAUCCGGAUUUAUUGGGUUUAAAGGGUGCGUAGGCGGAUUAGUAAGUCAGUGGUGAAAGCCCAUCGCUUAACGGUGGAACUGCCAUUGAUACUGCUAGUCUUGAGUAUGGUUGAGGUGGGCGGAAUGUGUCAUGUAGCGGUGAAAUGCUUAGAUAUGACCCAGAACACCAAUUGCGAAGGCAGCGCGCUAAGCCAUAACUGACGCUGAUGCACGAAAGCGUGGGGAGCAAACAGG